CUACGGAUCAUCCACAUGAAGUUUUCGAUCUGAUCGACUCCUCACAAGUGCUAGCUCGUUGUAGAGCCCUUUCGACGGCCGAUGCUGAUCGAACUCCUUCGACCAAUGUCUGCCAAUUCUUUGGAUGCUCUGAAUCAUCAGCAGACAUGCUUGAGAGGAUGAUGAAGAUCUCUCUAAAAUUUGGUGGGUCACGAUACUCG
rnacentral:lncRNA from 1 species